AUUGAACGCUGGCGGCAGGCCUAACACAUGCAAGUCGAGCGGAUGAAGGGAGCUUGCUCCUGGAUUCAGCGGCGGACGGGUGAGUAAUGCCUAGGAAUCUGCCUGGUAGUGGGGGAUAACGUCCGGAAACGGGCGCUAAUACCGCAUACGUCCUGAGGGAGAAAGUGGGGGAUCUUCGGACCUCACGCUAUCAGAUGAGCCUAGGUCAGAUUAGCUAGUUGGUGGGGUAAAGGCCUACCAAGGCGACGAUCCGUAACUGGUCUGAGAGGAUGAUCAGUCACACUGGAACUGAGACACGGUCCAGACUCCUACGGGAGGCAGCAGUGGGGAAUAUUGGACAAUGGGCGAAGGCCUGAUCCAGCCAUGCCGCGUGUGUGAAGAAGGUCUUCGGAUUGUAAAGCACUUUAAGUUGGGAGGAAGGGCAGUAAGUUAAUACCUUGCUGUUUUGACGUUACCAACAGAAUAAGCACCGGCUAACUUCGUG
rnacentral:rRNA from 1 species